rnacentral:rRNA from 1 species
AAUAUUUGACAAUGGGCGCAAGCCUGAUGCAGCCACGCCGCGUGUAUGAAGAAGGNCUNNGGGUUNUNAAGGACUUUCAGCGGNNNNNGAGGUGUUGAGGUUAAUAACCUCAGCACUUGGCGUUACGCGCAGAUGUAGCACCGGCUAACUCCGUGCCAUCAGCCGCGGUAAUACGGAGGGUGCAAGCGUUAAUCGGAAUUACUGGGCGUAAAGCGCACGCAGGCGGUCUGUCAAGUCGGAUGUGAAAUCCCCGGGCUAAACCUGGGAACUGCAUUCGAAACUGGCAGGCUGGAGUCUUGUAGAGGGGGGUAGAAUUCCAGGUGUAGCGGUGAAAUGCGUAGAGAUCUGGAGGAAUACCGGUGGCGAAGGCGGCCCCCUGGACAAAGACUGACGCUCAGGUGCGAAAGCGUGGGGAGCAAACAGG